AUUGAACGCUGGCGGCAUGCCUUACACAUGCAAAUCGAACGGUAACGGGCCUUCGGGUGCCGACGAGUGGCGAACGGGUGAGUAAUACAUCGGAACGUGCCCGAUCGUGGGGGAUAACGAGGCGAAAGCUUUGCUAAUACCGCAUACGAUCUACGGAUGAAAGCCGGGGACCGCAAGGCCUUGCGCGGACGGAGCGGCCGAUGGCAGAUUAGGUAGUUGGUGGGAUAAAAGCUUACCAAGCCGACGAUCUGUAGCUGGUCUGAGAGGAUGAUCAGCCACACUGGAACUGAGACACGGCCCAGACUCCUACGGGAGGCAGCAGUGGGGAAUUUUGGACAAUGGGCGCAAGCCUGAUCCAGCCAUGCCGCGUGCAGGAUGAAGGCCUUCGGGUUGUAAACUGAUUUUGUACGGAACGAAAAGCCUUCUUUUAAUACAGGAGGGUCAUGACGGUACCGUAAGAAUAAGCACCGGCUAACUACGUG
rnacentral:rRNA from 1 species